GAGUUUGAUCAUGGCUCAGGAUGAACGCUGGCGGCGUGCUUAACACAUGCAAGUCGAACGAAGCACUUGAAUGGAAUUCUUCGGAAGGAAGCUCAAGUGACUGAGUGGCGGACGGGUGAGUAACGCGUGGGUAACCUGCCUCAUACAGGGGGAUAACAGUUGGAAACGGCUGCUAAUACCGCAUAAGCGCACAGUACCGCAUGGUACGGUGUGAAAAACUCCGGUGGUAUGAGAUGGACCCCGCGUCUGAUUAGGUAGUUGGUGGGUAACGGCCUACCAAGCCGACGAUCAGUAGCCGACCUGAGAGGGUGACCGGCCACAUUGGGACUGAGACACGGCCCAAACUCCUACGGGAGCAGCAGUGGGAAUAUUGCACAAUGGGGGAAACCCUGAUGCAGCGACGCCGCGUGAGCGAUGAAGUAUUUCGGUA
rnacentral:rRNA from 1 species